CCUACGGGGGGCAGCAGUAGGGAAUAUUGGACAAUGGGCGAAAGCCUGAUCCAGCAAUGCCGCGUGAGUGAUGAAGGCCUUAGGGUUGUAAAGCUCUUUUACCCGGGAUGAUAAUGACAGUACCGGGAGAAUAAGCUCCGGCUAACUCCGUGCCAGCAGCCGCGGUAAUACGGAGGGAGCUAGCGUUGUUCGGAAUUACUGGGCGUAAAGCGCACGUAGGCGGCUAUUCAAGUCAGAGGUGAAAGCCCGGGGCUCAACCCCGGAACUGCCUUUGAAACUAGAUAGCUUGAAUCCAGGAGAGGUGAGUGGAAUUCCGAGUGUAGAGGUGAAAUUCGUAGAUAUUCGGAAGAACACCAGUGGCGAAGGCGGCUCACUGGACUGGUAUUGACGCUGAGGUGCGAAAGCGUGGGGAGCAAACAGGAUUAGAUACCCCAGUAGUC
rnacentral:rRNA from 1 species